UACCAGCACCCCGAGUGGUCGGGACGAUUAUUGGGCCUAAAGCAUCCGUAGCCGGUCAUGCAAGUCUUCCGUUAAAUCCAGCCGCUCAACGGUUGGGCUGCGGAGGAUACUAUGUGGCUAGGAGGCGGGAGAGGCAAGCGGUACUCAGUGGGUAGGGGUAAAAUCCUUUGAUCCAUUGAAGACCACCAGUGGCGAAGGCGGCUUGCCAGAACGCGCUCGACGGUGAGGGAUGAAAGCUGGGGGAGCAAACCGG
rnacentral:rRNA from 1 species